rnacentral:misc_RNA from 1 species
GAUGAAGAACGCAGUGAAAUGCGAUAAGUAGUGUGAAUUGCAGAAUUCAGUGAAUCAUCGAAUCUUUGAACGCACAUUGCGCCUUCUAGUAUUCUGGGAGGCAUGCCUGUUUGAGCGUCAUUAAACCUCUCUCAAGUAUGAUUACUUGGAUGUGAAGGAAGAGUACCUUAAACUUAAGGAGUGUUCUCCUUUGAAAUUGAUUAGCAGAUGGUAAUGUUAUUAAAUCCCUGAUGUUGUAAGAAAUAACAGUGGUUUUGUAGACUAUUAUCUAGCUUUAAAUUAUAAUUUUUAUUAUGGUUGACCUCAAAUCAGGUAAGGAUACCCGCUGAACUUAAGCAUAUCAAUAAGCAGAGGA